rnacentral:tRNA from 1 species
GUCCCGGAUUGUGAUUCCGGUUGUCGUGGGUUCGAGCCCCAUCAGCCACCCCA